rnacentral:misc_RNA from 1 species
AAGACUAUAGACCUGCGGAGUACCUGCGGAGGGAUCAUUACAGGACUCGCAAGACUCCUACAACCCUGUGAACCUACUAUACGAACGUUGCUUCGGCGGGUGCGCCCCGGGGAUUCGUUCCCGCGGCGCGUCAGCCCGCCGGCAGCCUACAAAUUCUGUUUCUUUGCGUUGGCAUCUCGAGAAAAACAAAUAAGUUAAAACUUUCAGCAACGGAUCUCU